rnacentral:rRNA from 1 species
UACGUAGGGUGCAAGCGUUAAUCGGAAUUACUGGGCGUAAAGCGUGCGCAGGCGGCUUUGCAAGACAGAUGUGAAAUCCCCGGGCUUAACCUGGGAACUGCAUUUGUGACUGCAUGGCUGGAGUGCGGCAGAGGGGGAUGGAAUUCCGCGUGUAGCAGUGAAAUGCGUAGAUAUGCGGAGGAACACCGAUGGCGAAGGCAAUCCCCUGGGCCAAUACUGACGCUCAUGCACGAAAGCGUGGGGAGCAAACAGG